UGGCGAACGGGUGAGUAACGCGUGAGGAACCUGCCUCAAAGAGGGGGACAACAGUUGGAAACGACUGCUAAUACCGCAUAAGCCCACGGGUCGGCAUCGACCAGAGGGAAAAGGAGCAAUCCGCUUUGAGAUGGCCUCGCGUCCGAUUAGCUAGUUGGUGAGGUAAUGGCCCACCAAGGCAACGAUCGGUAGCCGGACUGAGAGGUUGAACGGCCACAUUGGGACUGAGACACGGCCCAG
rnacentral:rRNA from 1 species